rnacentral:rRNA from 1 species
CGAAUCCUGCAAAAGCAGACGACCAGAGAA